rnacentral:tRNA from 1 species
GGUUUGUUAGCUCAGCGGCAGAGCAAUUGGUUGUUACCCAAUAGGUCGAGAUUUCGAAAUUCUCACAAACCUC